rnacentral:lncRNA from 1 species
GUCAGCGCUGUCCCAACUGCCCUCACAGGUGCACAUCAUUGGGCACAUCCCCCCAGCGCACUGCCUGCGCAGCUGGAGCUGGAACUACUACCGCAUCGUGAACAGGUUUGAGGGCACCAUCGCUGCGCAGUUCUUUGGGCACACGCACGUGGAUGAGUUUGAGAUGUUCUACGAUGAGGAGACGCUGACUCGGCCCGUGUCCGUGGCUUUCGUGGCACCCAGCGUCACAACCUACAUCAACCUCAACCCCGGUGAGCCCUCAGUCCAACGCCACUGCGGCCC